rnacentral:rRNA from 1 species
AUGAACGCUGGCGGCGUGCCUAAUACAUGCAAGUCGAGCGAACAGACGAGGAGCUUGCUCCUCUGACGUUAGCGGCGGACGGGUGAGUAACACGUGGAUAACCUACCUAUAAGACUGGGAUAACUUCGGGAAACCGGAGCUAAUACCGGAUAAUAUAUUGAACCGCAUGGUUCAAUAGUGAAAGACGGUUUUGCUGUCACUUAUAGAUGGAUCCGCGCCGCAUUAGCUAGUUGGUAAGGUAACGGCUUACCAAGGCAACGAUGCGUAGCCGACCUGAGAGGGUGAUCGGCCACACUGGAACUGAGACACGGUCCAGACUCCUACGGGAGGCAGCAGUAGGGAAUCUUCCGCGAUGGGCGAAAGCCUGACGGAGCAACGCCGCGUGAGUGAUGAAGGUCUUCGGAUCGUAAAACUCUGUUAUUAGGGAAGAACAAAUGUGUAAGUAACUAUGCACGUCUUGACGGUACCUAAUCAGAAAGCCACGGCUAACUACG